GUCCGGUAGCUCAGUUGGUAGAGCAACUGUACGUGGUGAGCAGUUGCUCUACCAACUGAAAGCGCCUAGCAAUAACUGCCAGGAGGUCGCAGGAUCGAGCCUGCCCGUGAUU